ACACGGUGACGAAGAUCGUCCCGUGCCGUCCGCCCGAGGCAGUGCCGUACUCCUCGUGAGCACGGACCAGCGGCGGUUGGACCGGAGCCACAAGGCGACGGAGGAAGGUGAGUCGACACGGGUCAGUCCUGUGUCGACAGCUUACAGCCCCGUCGUACGGUGCUCAGGCCCGACCGAGGAAAUCGGGCAGCCCUUGCCCACCGCGGCACACGCCGAAUGGCGGGGCCUCCCGGUGCGAGUGAACCGUGCGGUGUGGACUGCAUGCAGUGCAAAUCGUGGCGGCGAUCUCGUGGCGGUGAGUGCCACACGUGUGCCAGUGCUGCUGGUAUUCAGAC
rnacentral:misc_RNA from 1 species